CCGAGGCGGACGCCGAGUCCUGCCACCGCAUCGGGUCACGACCGCUGGCAGGAGCGGGGGAACCACUUCCCGGCCCGUCCCAGGACGGACCUUGGGGUGAAGCCGACGCGGCGCGGGUGACCGUGCGCGCCGGCCGGGUAGACCUCUGACCCGAACCCGACAGCUCACCUCGUAGGCGUUGGAGAGGUUCACA
rfam:Tetrasphaera japonica T1-X7 genomic scaffold, 1540_scaffold1